GUUGCUUUGAUCAAAGCUCUUGUUGUUCCUUUCUAUUUUUUCGCAGUUAAAAAGUGUCUUAAUUUCAAGUCUUUUUUUUUUUUUAGUUUUUUUCUCAUCUACGGCUAAGUAAUUUUAAGUGUAUUGUGAUGUUACGCAUUUUACUAAAAGCCUCAUGGUUUAGUAAUUUUAAGCUAAAGGCAGAAACACUUCAACGAGAAUACCUUUAGGUAUAAAAUCGAUAAGAUAAUAAUGAUUAAAAUAUGAUCAUUAACGAAAAUUUCUAAUUACUUUACAAUGCCGUUAAAACCAGUUUCAAUCAUACCAAAUGAAAGCAUGCAACUGAAGAAAGAUAACCGCCGCCAUGACUAUCUCUUCGCUUAGAAUCUUUACUGAUGGUAAAGAUUCUAAGAUGUCGACGAAAAAAAAGAGAGGCCGAAACAAUCCUUAUCGAUUAAUUAAAUGAAAAAGGAAUUCAUUAAUAAACGAGAAGCAGAAAUAAACGAUGACCAUUGUCUUUUGCUUUGUCAGCGGAUUGCUGUGGAGGCGGAAUGAAGUCACAGCCAAAGAACAGCUCAGCAAUUUUCUGUCACAGAUCUACGUUCGUACAUAUUACAAGCAUUGAAUGGCAAAAUUGCAUAAACGGCUUCUUUUCACAAAAAAAAAAAAAAAAAAAAAAACCGAAAAAAAACAAAAAAAAAGGAAAAAUGUCGAAUUCCAGAAGCUAUUGCACAAACAGUUGUAUUAAUGCGAUUCCAUUGAUAUUAUCGACAACUUAUGCUGAAAUUCCAUGAGUAUAAAAUUAAGAGGACACAACAAUGCCGUAUGCGUUUGCUUAUAUAUAUAUAUAUAUAUGCAUAUGUAUAUAUAUAUAUGUGUGUGUGCUUCAUAAGAAGAGAAGAUCAGAGGACAGACGGUAUUUAUAUGAAAUCUAUAUGUUUGUAUAGAGAAAGAUAUGGAUGCGUGGUCAUCAACUAACCAAUAACAAAUACUAAAAUUAUACAUGUAUAUAUAGUGUAUAAUCUGUGGCCAAAGCCUAAAGGAAAACUUAACAAAGAAUACCACAUAAGAUUCUUGUCGAACUCGAACAGUCACAAACAGCAAUCCGUAACUGCGUGCGUUGUUGGCGGCAUUCAGAAGCUGCAACGUAUUCAAACUCGGCCCAACAUAACGCACAUUGUCCUGAAUGCUUUGGUGUGUGCCCGACACGCAUUACACAUCGCACGUGGCCCGUUCACUUUGAACCUUUGAAAUUAACAAAAAUCAUCAAAAAUAUGCAGCCGCAUUCCCAUGAAAGUUACUGAAUGCAAUACGAUCACAGUCAACUAAACAAAUAAACAAAUAAACAAACAAAUAAACAAACAAACAAACAAACAAACAAGUAAGCAAGUAACUACAGCAACAACAGCGCAAAAGUAAACAAAAUAACUACCGAUGCACACACAAUCUUAAUACCAAAGCAGCAGCAAAGCCAUCAGCCAGCUACUCUACUACUACAGGUUCCCAAUUUUCCAUCCAUUUGUGGUUGCGGUAGUCCGUGUACUGCCGCAAUAUAAAAAUACGAGAAAAAACAAAAAAAAAAAAAAA